GUACACUCCUGCGGGAGGCAGCAGUGGGGAAUAUUGCACAAUGGGCGCAAGCCUGAUGCAGCCAUGCCGCGUGUAUGAAGAAGGCCUUCGGGUUGUAAAGUACUUUCAGCGGGGAGGAAGGCGAUAAGGUUAAUAACCUUGUUGAUUGACGUUACCCGCAGAAGAAGCACCGGCUAACUCCGUGCCAGCAGCCGCGGUAAUACGGAGGGUGCAAGCGUUAAUCGGAAUUACUGGGCGUAAAGCGCACGCAGGCGGUCUGUCAAGUCGGAUGUGAAAUCCCCGGGCUCAACCUGGGAACUGCAUUCGAAACUGGCAGGCUAGAGUCUUGUAGAGGGGGGUAGAAUUCCAGGUGUAGCGGUGAAAUGCGUAGAGAUCUGGAGGAAUACCGGUGGCGAAGGCGGCCCCCUGGACAAAGACUGACGCUCAGGUGCGAAAGCGUGGGGAGCAAACAGGAUUAGAAACCCCGGUAGUCCC
rnacentral:rRNA from 1 species